AUGAAUUUUCUCAUGUCACAGGAGGGCUCAGAAACUGAAGUUACUGGAGACAGUGCUGGAGCUGAUGGUCCGGUGCGCACCAAAGAAGCUUCUCCUGUCCUCUUCACAGCAUUGCAAUCAUUCAAAGAAGCUUUGAUUGAUGGCGACGGCACCAAAAUCGCGGAGAUGGAGGCCUUCUUACUUGAUGCUGAGCUCGGCUCUCUUCUGAACAGAAUCACUACUUUAGAUGUAGCAUUAGCAGCUGGGAGAGACCGUGUGUUGAGAAUAGGUGCUCGCCCUGAUAUCUGUAGGGAAGAGAUGGGGAGAGAGGGUUGGUGGCAGAUGUUCAAGGGGGUGUUGUGGAGAUUUUCUUUCCGGCUCUUUGCCAGUUGA
rnacentral:rRNA from 1 species